UUUAAGAGUUUGAUCCUGGCUCAGGAUGAAUGCUGGCGGUGUGCCUUAAGCAUGCAAGUCGAACGGUAAAUUCCCUUCGGGGAAUACGAGUGGCAGACGGGUGAGUAAUACGUAGGAACUUACCUUCAAGUGGGGAAUAGCUCAUCGAAAGAUGGGGUAAUGCCGCAUAUGGUCGCAAGAUCAAAGUCGCAAGACGCUUGAAGAGAGGCCUGCGCCCUAUCAGGUAGUUGGUGAGGUAAUGGCUCACCAAGCCAAUGACGGGUAGCCGAUGUGAGAGCAUGAUCGGCCACAAGGUAACUGAGAUACGGUGCCUACACCUACGGGUGGCAGCAACUGGGAAUAUUGCGCAAUGGACGAAAGUCUGACGCAGCGACACCGCGUGUGGGAAGAAGCUUUUCGGAGUGUAAACCACUGUGGCAGGGGAACAAUUUUGAGCGUACCCUGCUAGAAAGCACCUGCUAACUACGUGCCAGAAGCCUCGGUAAUACGUAGGGUGCAAGCAUUAUCCGGAUUUACUGGGCGUAAAGCGUCCGUCGGCGGUCUAUAAAGUUUCAUCUUUAAUACUGGGGCUCAACCCCAGAUACAGGAUGGAAAACUAGUAGACUAGAGUUUACUAUGGGGAGCUGGAAUUCUCGGUGGAGGGGUGAAAUCCGUAGAUAUCGAGAGGAACACCAUUCGCGAAGGCGAGCUCCUGAGGUAUAACUGACGCUCAGGGACGAAAGCUUGGGUAGCAAAAGGGAUUAGAGACCCCUGUAGUCCAAGCCGUAAACAUUCCUUGCUAAUUGCUUGGUCCUUUAUGGAUUGAGUGAUGUAAGCUAACGCGUUAAGCAAGGCGCCUGGGGAUUACGAUCGCAAGAUUAAAACUCAAAGGAAUUGACGGGGGAGCGCACAACCGGUGGAGCAUGUGGUUUAAUUCGAUACAAAGCGAAAAACCUUACCUGGGUUUGACAUGUACCUGCACGGCUUAGGAAACUAGGCCUUCUUCGAGAGUGGUACACAGGUGUUGCAUGGCUGUCGUCAGCUCGUGUCGUGAGGCGUCCACUUAAGUGUGGUAACGAGCGCAACCCUUAUCUCGUGUUACAAGUGUCACGAGAGACUGCCCUGCUUUUUGCAGGGAGGAAGGAGAGGAUGACGUCAAGUCAGCACGACCCUUACAUCCAGGGCUACACACAUCCUACAAUGGAGCCGACAACGGGAAGCAAUAUCGCGAGAUGGAGCUAAUCCUUAAACGGCCCCUCAGUUCAGAUUGCGGGCUGCAAUUCGCCCGCAUGAAGUCGGAAUCGGUAGUAAUCGCAAAUCAGCAGGUUGCGGUGAAUACGUUCUCGCUCCUUGUACACACUGCCCGUCAAACCAGCAAAGUUAGCAACACCCGAAGCGGAUGACCAUAACUCGCAAGAGAGUGGCUCUUCUACGGUGAGGUUAGCGAUGAGGGUUAAGUCGUAACAAGGUAUCGCUACUGGAAGGUGGCGAUGGAUCACCUCCUU
rnacentral:rRNA from 2 species